rnacentral:misc_RNA from 1 species
AACUUUUGGCAAUGGAUCACUUGGCUCUCGCAUCGAUGAAGAACGCAGCAAAAUGCGAUACGUAAUGUGAAUUGCAGAAUUCAGUGAAUCAUCGAAUCUUUGAACGCACCUUGCGCCCCUUGGCAUUCCGAGGGGCACACCUGUUUGAGUGUCGUGAAAUUCUCAAACCUUCUUGGUUUCUUGAUCAAGAUGGCUUUGGACUUUGGAGGCAUUUUGCUGGCUUUGCGAAAAGCCAGCUCCUCUUAAAUACAUUAGUGGGAUCCCCUUUGCCGAUCCCCAGGCGUGAUAAGAUAUUUCUACGUCUUGGGAUUUGCUCUGUUCCUUGGGAACCCGCUUCCAACCGUCUCAUGGGAGACAUCGUUCGAGUUUGCUCGACCCACGAACCUUGACCUCAAAUCGGGUGAGACUACCCGCUGAACUUAAGCAUAUCAAUAAGCGGAGGCU